GGUUAAGUGACUAAGCGUACACGGUGGAUGCCUUGGCAGUCAGAGGCGAUGAAAGACGUAGUAACUUGCGAUAAGCCCAGAUUAGGUAGUAACAACCAUUUGAGUCUGGGAUUUCUGAAUGGGGAAACCCACGUGCAUAAGCACGUAUCCUUACCUGAAUACAUAGGGUAAGGAGGCGAACCGGGGAACUGAAACAUCUAAGUACCCCGAGGAAAAGAAAUCAACCGAGAUUCCGAAAGUAGCGGCGAGCGAAAUUGGACUAGCCCUUAAGCUUUACACGCGUUAGACGAACGGUCUGGAAAGUCCGACGAUACAGGGUGAUAGUCCCGUAGUUGACGACGUGUGUUCAGUGAAAUCGAGUAGGGCGGGACACGUGAUAUCCUGUCUGAAUAUGGGGGACCAUCCUCCAAGGCUAAAUACUACUGACUGACCGAUAGUGAACCAGUACCGUGAGGGAAAGGCGAAAAGAACCCCUGUGAGGGGAGUGAAAUAGAACCUGAAACCGUGUACGUACAAGCAGUAGGAGCAGGCUUUGUCCUGUGACUGCGUACCUUUUGUAUAAUGGGUCAGCGACUUAUAUUCAGUGGCAAGGUUAACCAUCUAGGGGAGCCGUAGGGAAACCGAGUCUUAACUGGGCGUUCAGUCUCUGGAUAUAGACCCGAAACCAGGUGAUCUAGCCAUGGGCAGGUUGAAGGUUGAGUAACAUCAACUGGAGGACCGAACCGACUAAUGUUGAAAAAUUAGCGGAUGACUUGUGGCUAGGGGUGAAAGGCCAAUCAAACCUGGAGAUAGCUGGUUCUCCCCGAAAGCUAUUUAGGUAGCGCCUCGGACGAAUACUACUGGGGGUAGAGCACUGUUAAGGCUAGGGGUCAUCCCGACUUACCAACCCUUUGCAAACUCCGAAUACCAGUAAGUACUAUCCGGGAGACACACGGCGGGUGCUAACGUCCGUCGUGGAGAGGGAAACAACCCAGACCGCCAGCUAAGGUCCCAAAUUACUACUAAGUGGGAAACGAUGUGGGAAGGCUCAGACAGCCAGGAUGUUGGCUUAGAAGCAGCCAUCAUUUAAAGAAAGCGUAAUAGCUCACUGGUCGAGUCGGCCUGCGCGGAAGAUGUAACGGGGCUAAGUAGUAAACCGAAGCUGCGGCAAUGCACUUUAGUGCAUUGGGUAGGGAGCGUUCUGUAAGCGGUUGAAGGUGUGUGGUAACGCAUGCUGGACGUAUCAGAAGUGCGAAUGCUGACAUGAGUAACGAUAAAGGGGGUGAAAAACCUCCUCGCCGGAAGACCAAGGGUUCCUGUCCAACGUUAAUCGGGGCAGGGUAAGUCGACCCCUAAGGCGAGGCCGAAAGGCGUAGUCGAUGGGAAACGGGUUAAUAUUCCCGUACUUCUUACAAUUGCGAUGGGGGACGGAGAAGGCUAGGUGGGCCUGGCGACGGUUGUCCAGGUUCAAGUGCGUAGGCUUAAGAGUUAGGUAAAUCCGGCUCUUUCUAAGGCUGAGACACGACGUCGAGCACCUACGGGUGUGAAGUCAUUGAUGCCAUGCUUCCAGGAAAAGCCUCUAAGCUUCAGAUUGUAAGGAAUCGUACCCCAAACCGACACAGGUGGUCGGGUAGAGAAUACCAAGGCGCUUGAGAGAACUCGGGUGAAGGAACUAGGCAAAAUGGUACCGUAACUUCGGGAGAAGGUACGCUCUUGAUGGUGAAGUCCCUCGCGGAUGGAGCUGACGAGAGUCGCAGAUACCAGGUGGCUGCAACUGUUUAUUAAAAACACAGCACUGUGCAAAAUCGUAAGAUGACGUAUACGGUGUGACGCCUGCCCGGUGCCGGAAGGUUAAUUGAUGGGGUUAGACUUCGGUCGAAGCUCUUGAUCGAAGCCCCGGUAAACGGCGGCCGUAACUAUAACGGUCCUAAGGUAGCGAAAUUCCUUGUCGGGUAAGUUCCGACCUGCACGAAUGGCGUAAUGAUGGCCACGCUGUCUCCACCCGAGACUCAGUGAAAUUGAAAUCGCUGUGAAGAUGCAGUGUACCCGCGGCUAGACGGAAAGACCCCGUGAACCUUUACUACAGCUUGGCACUGAACAUUGACCCUACAUGUGUAGGAUAGGUGGGAGGCUUUGAAGCACGUACGCCAGUAUGUGUGGAGCCGUCCUUGAAAUACCACCCUUGUAGUGUUGAUGUUCUAACGUCGACCCCUUAUCGGGGUUGCGGACAGUGCCUGGUGGGUAGUUUGACUGGGGCGGUCUCCUCCCAAAGAGUAACGGAGGAGCACGAAGGUGGGCUAAUCACGGUUGGACAUCGUGAGGUUAGUGCAAUGGCAUAAGCCCGCUUGACUGCGAGAAUGACAAUUCGAGCAGGUGCGAAAGCAGGUCAUAGUGAUCCGGUGGUUCUGAAUGGAAGGGCCAUCGCUCAACGGAUAAAAGGUACUCCGGGGAUAACAGGCUGAUACCGCCCAAGAGUUCAUAUCGACGGCGGUGUUUGGCACCUCGAUGUCGGCUCAUCACAUCCUGGGGCUGAAGUCGGUCCCAAGGGUAUGGCUGUUCGCCAUUUAAAGUGGUACGCGAGCUGGGUUUAGAACGUCGUGAGACAGUUCGGUCCCUAUCUGCCGUGGGCGUUGGAAGAUUGAAGGGGCUGCUCCUAGUACGAGAGGACCGGAGUGGACGAACCUCUGGUGUUCGGGUUGUGUCGCCAGACGCAUUGCCCGGUAGCUAAGUUCGGAAUCGAUAACCGCUGAAAGCAUCUAAGCGGGAAGCGAGCCCUGAGAUGAGUCUUCCCUGAUACUUUAAGUAUCCUAAAGGGUUGUCGGAGACUACGACGUUGAUAGGUCAGGUGUGUAAGUGCUGUGAGGCAUUGAGCUAACUGAUACUAAUUGCCCGUGAGGCUUAACCAU
rnacentral:rRNA from 1 species